UUGGUUUAGAGGACUUCAGGCCUAGUUCAGCAAUGAUUGCAUUGGAUUUCUUAAUACGACAUGGAUUUGUUUCACCAGAAAAUGAGAAGAAUUAUGCAUACUUAGUAGAAAUGAUGCAUAUACCGCUACAAAGUUACUUCUCUUAUACAACUCAAUUGUUGAGCAGAUAGGAAUUACAGCAAUAUUGAAGACAUGAAUAGUAGUCUUAGAUAAAUAUGCUAUGUUUCAGAAAAUGUGUUGUGGUAGAAAAAUGAAUGACAAACUGAUAUGAAGAAUUUUCAGCUCAUCGUCGUCUCAUUUUUAAACCAAACAUCCUCAUUUAUUCAGAACUAGGCACUACAGAUGAUACAAAAGGCACCACAACAAUUAUUAGACUUUAGUUUGAAAGCUUAUUAAGUGAUUUUCAAAAAUAAAUAUUUUAUUCAUGGAAUGACAGAUUGGUCCAAUUCAUUUCUUUUAUUUCAUAUAAUUCUUCAUCAAAAUAAUUAUACAUAUACACACAUUGUUUACAUAAUAAUUUAUUUCUACAUAGACUAGGUGUGUUGGCAAACCUGUUAUCCGUAGAGUAAGUCUUGUGCUUGAGGUAGAGGGUUCGAUUUAUUCAUUUAGACUCACUGUGUUUAGACUCGUUUGAAAAUACAGUAGAGGUGGACAUCUGGAUAUCAAUUAAAGACCAGCGCCUUUACGUAUGACACUAUUUUAAUCCCCCCCCCAAAAAAAAAAUAUACAUAGAACAUAUGCAGUAAACCGGAAUGAUAUUAGCGGUGUUAUAACAAUGUUAAUGUGUGCUUUAACUCAACCUCCAAUCAGCAAAUGAUAAAAUUGAUACAACGACUUCAAAAUUUAUGCUCAGCAAUUAUCAAUAAUAUAGAAAUAACUCCUCAUAAAAUGAGUGUCUCGCCUAUAAAUGGACACAUCUGAAUGACUUUUGAAUAAAGAACAGCAAUAAUGGAUUAUCUCUA